AUUGAACGCUGGCGGCAUGCUUUACACAUGCAAGUCGAACGGUAACAGGCCGCAAGGUGCUGACGAGUGGCGAACGGGUGAGUAAUGCACCGGAACGUGCCCAGUCGUGGGGGAUAACUACUCGAAAGAGUAGCUAAUACCGCAUACGAUCUAUGGAUGAAAGCGGGGGACCGUAAGGCCUCGCGCGAUUGGAGCGGCCGAUGUCAGAUUAGGUAGUUGGUGGGGUAAAGGCUCACCAAGCCAACGAUCUGUAGCUGGUCUGAGAGGACGACCAGCCACACUGGGACUGAGACACGGCCCAGACUCCUACGGGAGGCAGCAGUGGGGAAUUUUGGACAAUGGGCGCAAGCCUGAUCCAGCAAUGCCGCGUGCAGGAAGAAGGCCUUCGGGUUGUAAACUGCUUUUGUACGGAACGAAACGGCUCUGGUUAAUACCCGGGGCUAAUGACGGUACCGUAAGAAUAAGCACCGGCUAACUACGU
rnacentral:rRNA from 1 species